rnacentral:rRNA from 1 species
CAGCAGCCACGGUAAUACGGAGGGUGCAAGCGUUAAUCGGAAUUACUGGGCGUAAAGCGCACGCAGGCGGUCUGUCAAGUCAGAUGUGAAAUCCCCGGGCUUAACCUGGGAACUGCAUUUGAAACUGGCAGGCUAGAGUCUUGUAGAGGGGGGUAGAAUUCCAGGUGUAGCGGUGAAAUGCGUAGAGAUCUGGAGGAAUACCGGUGGCGAAGGCGGCCCCCUGGACAAAGACUGACGCUCAGGUGCGAAAGCGUGGGGAGCAAACAGGAUUUGAUACCCCAGUAGUCCCUGUCUCUUAUAC